rnacentral:lncRNA from 1 species
GGAACAAAUGGGGGCAGACUGAGCCACGAGCUUGAAGAGCCGGCUCUGCAUGAUUGUAUUAUCCCAAGAGACUCCGGCCCUGUUUCUCCCGCGCACAGAAGGGUUCUGUGCGCACUGAGGUUCAAAUGCAAGAAUAAUUGUGAACACAAAAGUACUAUUCCAAGGCAGAGACCACCGCCAUUCCUUGAACCUCACGGUAACUAUGUGCCAAGUUUGAAUCCAAGGGCAGUCCCCUUCCUGGCACAGCAAGCAAAAUAAAGUGAAGCCCCUGGAGGCUCAGGCUCCACAGCAAGACCACAGAGAAGACCAGCCCUCUCCCAUUGCCACAAAGACAAGAGAUAGCUUGAAAGAAGACAGCUAAAAGUGAAAUGAGCCAGGCAUGGUGGCGGGCACCUCUGUAA